rnacentral:lncRNA from 12 species
GUACUUUGCCCUAAGAGUGGUCACCUGGGUUUGACAGCGCUGGGCUGUUGCGUCUCUGUCAGGCACCUACUCUUAGCAGGCUCUGGGUGCAGGUCCGCUGUGGGCUCACGGCCUAGUCUGGCCCCACAGAAGGCCCUCCUGGAGGUGCUGGAGGUCCCGGGCCAGUCCUGGCACCCUCUCUAGGAGGAUCAGCUGCAAGAAGAGGCCUCCCCGAUGAUGCGGAGCUGCUGACCCAGCAGCAGCAUCCAAGCCCUCGGACAAAUCCUGCGACAGGAGCUCCCAGGAACACCUCUUAUCCGUCCUGCGCCCUGACGUCCCCACAGGAGCCUGCUUCUCCUCCCCCGGGAGCGGCCCGUCUGCAGGCUGGCCUCGCGUCCCCGUCCGGGAACCACUUCCUGCAUGUACAAGUGCAAACAAGAGUGCUAAUGCGCAAUUGCAAACUUUGUGGUGUGUCUUCAACCGUGUUUAGGCUCAACGGGUGA